AGCGAACGCUGGCGGCAGGCCUAACACAUGCAAGUCGAACGAACCCUUCGGGGUUAGUGGCGGACGGGUGAGUAACACGUGGGAACGUGCCUUUAGGUUCGGAAUAACUCAGGGAAACUUGUGCUAAUACCGAAUGUGCCCUUCGGGGGAAAGAUUUAUCGCCUUUAGAGCGGCCCGCGUCUGAUUAGCUAGUUGGUGAGGUAGUGGCUCACCAAGGCUACGAUCAGUAGCUGGUCUGAGAGGAUGACCAGCCACAUUGGGACUGAGACACGGCCCAAACUCCUACGGGAGGCAGCAGUGGGGAAUCUUGCGCAAUGGGCGAAAGCCUGACGCAGCCAUGCCGCGUGAAUGAUGAAGGUCUUAGGAUUGUAAAAUUCUUUUACCAGGGACGAUAAUGACGGUACCUGGAGAAAAAGCCCCGGCUAACUUCGUGCCAGCCGCCGCUGUAACAC
rnacentral:rRNA from 1 species